UUUCUGCUACUCCGCCCAUUUC
rnacentral:miRNA from 1 species